rnacentral:piRNA from 1 species
UGGUAUACGGAGCUUCAGUUG